rnacentral:rRNA from 1 species
GACGAACGCUGGCGGCGUGCUUAACACAUGCAAGUCGAACGGAAAGGCCCUGCUUUUGUGGGGUGCUCGAGUGGCGAACGGGUGAGUAACACGUGAGUAACCUGCCCUUGACUUUGGGAUAACUUCAGGAAACUGGGGCUAAUACCGGAUAGGAGCUCCUGCUGCAUGGUGGGGGUUGGAAAGUUUCGGCGGUUGGGGAUGGACUCGCGGCUUAUCAGCUUGUUGGUGGGGUAGUGGCUUACCAAGGCUUUGACGGGUAGCCGGCCUGAGAGGGUGACCGGCCACAUUGGGACUGAGAUACGGCGCAGACUCCUACGGGAGGCAGCAGGGGGGAAUAUUGCACAAUGGGAGGAAGCCUGAUGCAGAAACGCUGCGUGCGGGAUGACGGCCUUCGGGUUGUAAACCGCUUUCGCCUGUGACGAAGCGUGAGUGACGGUAAUGGGUAAAGAAGCACCGGCUAACUACGUG